GACAGAUGAAGCCAUCGUACCAGGAAAACAAAUUGAGGAUAUCAAUUUUGUGAUUUAACUCUACUCACAGAAGCGAUCAGUGGAGACGACAGUGGAGACGCCAACAAACUGCAGAAUCAUCAGAGUGAGUGACAUCUAGGACAGCGGUGUGACGGAGGAAGGAAGGAGAAUGCAUCAGUACACUGCCACUUGAUGCCUCCGAAAUGGCACCCUAAUUCCCUAAAUAUAGUGCACUACUUUGCACUAAGGCCCAUGGGGCUUUGGUCCAAAGUAGUGCACUUAUAUAGGGAAUAGAGUGCCAUUUGGGACAAACCCUCUGACUGGCAUGAGCAUGGAGAAUUACGGCCUCCUUACAGCUCUUCACAGUAAAGACUUACCAGAACUCACUUAAUAUUUCAUCGAUUUGCCCAAAAUCAUAUUUUCUUUCUAAACUGAAGCCUAUUAAUGUUUAAGCAUCCAAGCGUUGUGUGUGUGUGUAUGUCAGGACCAAAUAAACAAUGUUACUAAUUACGGAGAGAGGUUAUGAGCAUCUGAGCUUGAUGCUAUCGUACACUGACCACUGAAAUGGUCUCAG